GGGAGGAGGCCGGAUCCUGGGCUGUGUCCCGGCGCCCUGUGCUCCGGGGCCUGCGCUGUUGGAUCGUGCUCCCGCCCAGCAGCCCCCU
rnacentral:pre_miRNA from 1 species